rnacentral:lncRNA from 1 species
UCUAGAACUCGGUGGGGACGGGCUGGUGGCCCUCAGGAGCAGCCGGGGACAUGAAUACGCCGUCGUAGAUGAGCGCCGCGAGGGCAGCGCCGAUGAAAGGCCCCACCCAGUACACCCAGUGGUUGGUGAAAUCCCAGGCCACCACGGCGGGGCCGAAGGAGCGCCCUGGGUUCAUCGACGCGCCGGAGAACGGCGCCCCGACGAAGAUCUGAGCGAGCACCGUGAAGCCGAUUGCGAGAGGCGCGAUCACUCCCACGGUUCCCUUCUUCGGAUCCACAGCAGUCGCGAACACCACGAACACUAGAGUGAAGGUAAGCACGAUCUCCAUCAGUGUUGCGCUCCACGUCGUCAUGCCUGCUCCGAUUGCGUGCCGGGCGAGGUCUUCACCGGUUGUCACGAUUUUCAACACCCAGGCACCUGCUCACACACACACGCACAAACACACAAUUUCUUCGUUCAUUAGCAAUGACAAAGCGCUAACUGUCUUCGCUACGUCGUGUUUUCGAGCUGUGAACUCGCACCUCGAGCGUUUUAGUGCUACUCCUGGGUUGAUUCUAGACACAAUCCUUCUGUUUGUGCAUGUGACUGGGAUGAAUUUAAAAGGCUACGCGGAGUUAGGCAACUGAUCGUUCGCUGUAUCUGAUGUCAAGUGCAGAAAGAGCCUCAGUCGGAGUCCAGAGCAUUGCCUCCAGUGGGCUAACCUAAUGCUAUCUUACACGACCACCAAAUUCGUUCAAUGGAUGAUUGUAAUAAGAAGUGAAAUCCUUGACCGAGAAGUUUUUAGCUGCUCGGAAGCAGCGAAACGGACUUAGUCGAAUACUUCUUGUAAGUUGAUGUGAAGAGGACACCUAAAACCAAUCGCAAUGGACAGAAUUAUACAUAAUGGAUUUGGUUAGUUACGGGAGUGAAUCGACGAAGCAUUACCUGCAACGGCACCCAAGAGCUGAGCAAUCCAGUAGAGCACAAGCCUGAUGAUGGUGAUCUUGCCCGCAAGGGCGAGGCCCAGCGACACAGCAGGGUUGACAUGCCCUCCGCUGAUGUUCGCCGUCGCGGCGACCAGGAUUGCAAUGGCCAAACCAUGAGCGAUGGCGAUGAUGAGCAAACCUCCCGCUUCCAAGUCACCCACAUGGAUCUUCUCGUAGGACAUCACCGAUCCCACACCGAUGAACACAAACAGAAACAG